UAUAUCAACUUUCGAUGCCAUUUACUGUGCCUGCCAUGGUGACCACGUGUAACGGGGAAUCAGGGUUUGAUUCCG